GAAGGCCCACCCCCCACGGAAGGCGAUGGGGAGGAGUCUGGGGAAGAGUCUGGGAAGCCCCGUCCCGUGGAAGGCCGUUGGGAAAGAAGGGUUCCAAAGAGGAGAUCCGAGGAAGCUCCUCCCUCUCCCGGAGUUCCGGGAUGUCCCGCUCCGAUUGGAAAGCCCCAGUCGCCCAACACUUACGUUUAAUACUUUUCGCUCCGACAUCUUUGCCUCCUAAUCACCUCGCAAGCACUUGAGAAAUGGUAAGCCUGGGAAACUGACCAUCAGGCAAGGAACUGAAACUCAUCAGAUCAUCAGAUCCAGACAAUGAAGAGUCCAGACCCCAUCAUCCAUCAAGAUUACUUCCUUAACAUCCUCCCUGAAUUUGUUUUCGCCCAUUCCCCAGCUAUGUAAACUCCCCAAUUUUAGUUGGUCAGGGAGACAUAUGGGACUUUACCACCCCUUCUCCUUGAUUGCAGCCGCAGGAUAAAGCCUUCCUCCCUGGCAA